CCGGACCGGGGAGCUGCUUAAGGCCUGGUGGAAAACCUUUGGAGGCCGAUUCAAACUGGCACUUCUGCUGAGUGCUGGUGGCUCUGUGACACAGUUAUGAGAAGAAUGAACCUGAGGCCCCGGGAGCUCAGCGGCGCCUGCCUCGGCUCAGGGCAUGACCCCAGGGUCCCCGGAUCAGAGUCUCCGCAUCAGGCUCCCCUGCUUCUCCCUCUGCCAGUGUCUCUGCCUCUCUGUGUGUGUCUUUCAUGAAUAAAUAACUAAAAUCUUAAAAAAAGAAUGAACGUGACAUUGACUGACCUGGGUCUAGAGCUUAGUUCUUUGUUUAGUACGUAAGUGAACUCAGGCAGAAAUUCCCAGUGCCUCAGUUUCCCCAUCUGUGAAACACGAGUGUCUUCAUACACUGUGUCUGCGUAGAGGUGCCCGUGUCUUUAAAGUACUAGCUCGGAUCCUCUCGCAGUCAGGGUUGUCUUUACUCCAUCAGUGAGUUCCUCUGUCUGGUUACAGGUGUGCAGGCAGAGUGGCUGGUGAAAAGCUCCCCCCGCCCCCGCGUGUCCGAAUCCAGGCCUUUGCACCAAGCCUGUGAGUUGGGUAGAGUGCCCCAAGCCUCUGAGCUUUGUUUUCCAGUCUGUGAUGGAAGCAAAGUGCAACCUGUGUUGGAAGAGUCAUCAGUGACGCUGGGGAAGUGCUUAGCAGGGAGCCUCGUAGGGGCUGCAUCAUUCUCAUAUUUAGUUGCAGAAUCUGCAAAACUACCAAGGAGGAAGAGGAAAUGCGCGGCUGACUCUUAGAAGGUGGUGGUUUUCCCUCCUCAGUCGCCUGGGCUGGGUUUCCCUCAGUUCCAGGUCAGCUAGAGGCGCCACCUUCCCCAAGGGAGAGAGGGAACCGAGAGACCCCCGUGAACUCCCAAGGCGACCCGGCGAGUGGGGAAGCCAGAGCCCAGCAGGUGGGUCUUCUGACCGCGUGGAUGCUCCGUCCACACCUGGUGACUCGGUGCCCUCCGAGUCCCCACACCUCUCCGCGGCGCCUUCCCGAGUAGAACUGCAUCUCUUACGCCCCCCGCCCCAAGUUCAGGUGCCCCAACCCUUCUGGGCUGUGACAGGCACCACUCAGCGCCCUGUGAUGGUCCUUCCCGUGCUCAUGCACAGCACCCAAGGUGCUGGCCGCCCAGACCUUAUUCCCUUUGCUGGGAGGAAACUGAAUUACUGAUGUGGGCUCGGGGGCCUGCGUUCCAGAAGGACCCAGACACCCAGGGUCUUUGUGUCUCCCUGGCCCAGCAGAGAAAAGCUAAAUUGCAUUUGAAAGCCCUACAAGGGGGACGUUAAUUGAGGCAUAAAAGCGUGUGUCUUUGACCUUCCCAGGACCGGUGGUUCUCCCCUUAUCUGGGGCCUGUUCCUGCUGACACGGGUCGGGUCGCAGCCUCCUGCUUUGCACCGUCACCGAGGCUCCGGCUCCGGGUCUCCCUGCUCCACAGUGGGCCUGUGCGCUCAGCUCGCCAGUGUUUCUGUGAGCAUUUCUGAGCCUCCUUCCUGGGACUUCCCAGCCCCGGAAUAAUUUCUCAUAUCUGUCCCAAGUCCCAGUCUCAACGACAGGACUCGCUGACUUCACGGUGGGAUUUGGGGAUUUUGUAGGAAGCCGUGUCCACUCACUCACUCACUCACUCACUCAUUUGUUCACUUUUAAUUUCUCAGUCCCUCACUCAUCCGUGCACUUCUCCAGGCCUUUCACUUACGUUUUGGUCCCAUUUCCAGGCAUUUGUUGAUUGAGCCAAAGAGGACUGACUACGUGUGACAUAAGUUGGAUCGAGUCACUGUGGAAGCGUAAGGACUCCUGCAUGCACGGAGCUGUUUGAGUUAGUGAAAAUGGCUGGAGGGAGCUCGUGCAGUGGCCUAAAAUCCCUGUAACGUUGCAUUUUCCAGAAAAGUGUUCAUCCAGGGUUGUUUGAAGGUCUAGGGCUAUAUUUAGUGAGCAAGUCAGCUCAGUUAAAAGUUAGUUUUGGGAGUGAAAGAAAGACCUGAGUUCAGACGUCAGCUUUGCCACUUACCAGUGAUAGGACUCUGGGCUAGGUACUUAAACUGCUCUGAGCCUCACUGUCUUCAUUUUUAUUUUAUUUUAUUUUAUUUUAUUUUAUUUUAUUUUAUUUUAUUUUAUAUUUUAUUUUAUUUAUUUAUUUAUUUUAUUUAAUUUUAUUUUUUAAUUAAUUUAGCUGUCUUUAUUUUUAGUAUUUUUUUCAUUUUCAGUGAAUUUACUUAUUUAUUUUUUUAUUGUUCAAUUUGCCAACAUAUAGCAUAACACCCAGUGCUCAUCCCAUCAAGUGCCCCCCUCAGUGCCUGUCACCCAGUCACCCCCACCCCCCGCCCUCCUCCCCUUCCACCACCCCUUCCUUGUUCGUUUCCCAGAGUUAGGAGUCUCUUAUGUUCUGUGUCCCUCUCUGAUAUUUCCCACUCAUUUUCUCUCCUUUCCCCUUUAUUCCCUUUCACUAUUUUUUAUAUUCCCCAAAUGAAUGAGACCAUAUAAUGUUUGUCCUUCUCCUAUUGACUUACCUCACUCAGCAUAAUACCCUCCAGGUCCAUCCACAUCGAAGCAAAUGGUGCGUAUUUGCCAUUUCUAAUGGCUGAGG
rnacentral:lncRNA from 1 species